CCUACGGGGGGCAGCAGUGAGGAAUAUUGGUCAAUGGGCGCGAGCCUGAACCAGCCAAGUAGCGUGAAGGAUGACUGCCCUACGGGUUGUAAACUUCUUUUAUAAGGGAAUAAAGUGCGGGACGUGUCGCGUUUUGUAUGUACCUUAUGAAUAAGGAUCGGCUAACUCCGUGCCAGCAGCCGCGGUAAUACGGGGGAACUGAGCGUUAUCCGGAUUUAUUGGGUUUAAAGGGUGCGUAGGCGGCCUUUUAAGUCAGCGGUGAAAGUCUGUGGCUCAACUCCGUCCGGCCGUUGAAACUGGGGGCCUUGAGUGUGCGAGAAGAAGGCGGAAUGCGUGGUGUAGCGGUGAAAUGCAUAGAUAUCACGCAGAACCCCGAUUGCGAAGGCAGCCUUCCGGCGCCCUACUGACGCUGAGGCACGAAAGUGCGGGGAUCGAACAGGAUUAGAUACCCCAGUAGUC
rnacentral:rRNA from 1 species